rnacentral:misc_RNA from 1 species
UUUCCGUAGGUGAACCUGCGGAAGGAUCAUUACAGAGUUCAUGCCCGAAAGGGUAGACCUCCCACCCUUGUGUAUUAUUACUUUGUUGCUUUGGCGCCCGCAAGCUCGCCAGAGCAUACCAAAACUCUUUUUAUUAAUGUCGUCUGAGUACUAUAUAAUAGUUAAAACUUUCAACAACGGAUCUCUUGGUUCUG